rnacentral:rRNA from 1 species
UACAGGGGGGGCAAGCGUUGUUCGGAAUUACUGGGCGUAAAGGGCCAGUAGGCGGCCAACUAAGUCCGACGUGAAAUCCCUAGGCUUAACCUAGGAACUGCGUCGGAUACUGGAUGGCUUGAAUUCGGGAGAGGGAUGCAGAAUUCCAGGUGUAGCGGUGAAAUGCGUAGAUAUCUGGAGGAAUACCGGUGGCGAAGGCGGCUCACUGGCCCGGUACUGACGCUGAGGCGCGAAAGCGUGGGGAGCAAACAGG